AGUGUGACAAAGAUGAGCAAUACAGAUGAAGGCCCUGCCACGUGGAGAUUAGUCUGAUGAGUGAAACAAACAUUAAAUAAUCACAUAGUUUUACCAAUUAAAUUCAAGGAAAACCACUAUGACCAAAGAGAAGAAACAAAGAAGAGUAGAGAAUAGUGAUCUACCUUGAGGCAGACAACACCUAAGGGUGGAUGAUUACUGUGAAUGUGCUGGCCUUCCAGGACAACCAGGAUUUAUACAUUGGCAAAAAGAUGGC